rnacentral:tRNA from 1 species
GUUUUAAUAAUUUAAUAAAAAUAUUGGUUUUGUAAACCAAACAUAAGAUAUACCUUUUAAAACU